rnacentral:rRNA from 1 species
AUGCAACCUGCCCCACGCAGGGAAGAGCCGCCGAAGGCGGAUUAAUGCCCAUAGGCCCAGGGCGCCGCAUGGCGCUAUGGGUAAAGCUCCGGCGGAUGGGGAUGGGCAUGCGUGCCAUUAGCUAGUUGGGCGGUAACGGCGCACCAAGGCGACGAUGGCUAGGGGGUCUGAGAGGAUGGUCCCCCACACUGGUACUGAGACACGGACCAGACUCCUACGGGAGGCAGCAGUGAGGAAUAUUGGUCAAUGGGCGGAAGCCUGAACCAGCCCAUGCCGCGUGCAGGAUGACGGCCCUACGGGUUGUAAACUGCUUUUCCCCGGGAAGAAUAAGCCCCUCGUGAGGGGUGAUGCCGGUACCGGGGGAAUAAGGAUCGGCUAACUCCGUGCCAGCCGCUGC